rnacentral:rRNA from 1 species
ACUUCUACGGGAGGCAGCAGGCGCGUAAAUUGCCCAUUCCUGAUUCAGGGAGGCAGUGAAAAGGCAUAUCAAUGUAGGGUUUUUUAGCUCUACAAUUGGAAUGAGUUUAACCCAAAUCC